UAUUAAAAAUUUCAUUCCUUUGUACUAUUAAAAACUAGCGUGAUUGACAAAAUAACCAGACAAUGAAAUAUAAUGUGCCACAUAUACUUUAUACUGACGUACAAAGACCAGUUUUCAAUGGUAAAAAUUGGUGAAAUUUUUAAUA
rfam:Gossypium hirsutum cultivar TM-1 chromosome 14, whole genome shotgun sequence